AAAUUGAAGAGUUUGAUCAUGGCUCAGAUUGAACGCUGGCGGCAGGCCUAACACAUGCAAGUCGAACGGUAACAGGAAGCAGCUUGCUGCUUUGCUGACGAGUGGCGGACGGGUGAGUAAUGUUUGGGAAACUGCCUGAUGGAGGGGGAUAACUACUGGAAACGGUGGCUAAUACCGCAUAACGUCGCAAGACCAAAGAGGGGGACCUUCGGGCCUCUUGCCAUCAGAUGUGCCCAGAUGGGAUUAGCU
rnacentral:rRNA from 1 species